CCUACGGGCGGCAGCAGUAGGGAAUCUUUCACAAUGGGCGAAAGCCUGAUGGAGCAACGCCGCGUGCAGGAUGAAGGCCCUCGGGUUGUAAACUGCUUUUAUAAGCGAGAAAUAUGAUGGUAACUUAUGAAUAAGGAUCGGCUAACUACGUGCCAGCAGCCGCGGUCAUACGUAGGAUCCGAGCAUUAUCCGGAGUGACUGGGUGUAAAGAGUUGCGUAGGUGGCAUAAUAAGUAGCUAGUGAAAUCUGGUGGCUCAACCAUUCAGACUAUUAGCUAAACUGUUAAGCUCGAGACCGUUAGGGGUAACUGGAAUUUCUAGUGUAGGAGUGAAAUCCGUAGAUAUUAGAAAGAACACCAAUAGCGUAGGCAGGUUGCUGGGACGGUUCUGACACUAAGGCACGAAAGCGUAGGGAGCAAACGGGAUUAGAUACCCCAGUAGUC
rnacentral:rRNA from 1 species